AAGUCGUAACAAGGUUUCCGUAGGUGAACCUGCGGAAGGAUCAUUAAUGAUUUUUAAAGCGAGUCGAGCGUUUAAGCGAGGCUUGCGAAAAUAUUUAAAACCCCACACUUUUUAACCUUAAAAAAUAAAUCAUGAUACAUGAAUUUAAAAAAAAAGAUCACUUUCAACAACGGAUCUCUUGGCUCUC
rnacentral:misc_RNA from 1 species